GGGAGAGCGACUGGGUCUGCCCAGGGUUUUCCUCCCUUCCUCUCCCCCUUGCAACCUCCAGCACUGAAGGUCUAAUUCAGAGGCCGGGCCCCUCGCUCCCCUGCUGAAUAGAGACAGAUGCCCCUUUCCCCCAAGC